GACGAACGCUGGCGGCGUGCCUAAUACAUGCAAGUAGAACGCUGAAGGAGGAGCUUGCUUCUCUGGAUGAGUUGCGAACGGGUGAGUAACGCGUAGGUAACCUGCCUGGUAGCGGGGGAUAACUAUUGGAAACGAUAGCUAAUACCGCAUAAGAGUAGAUGUCGCAUGACAUUUGCUUAAAAGGUGCAAUUGCAUCACUACCAGAUGGACCUGCGUUGUAUUAGCUAGUUGGUGAGGUAACGGCUCACCAAGGCAACGAUACAUAGCCGACCUGAGAGGGUGAUCGGCCACACUGGGAAUGAGACACGGCCCAGACUCCUACGGGAGGCAGCAGUAGGGAAUCUUCGGCAAUGGACGGAAGUCUGACCGAGCAACGCCGCGUGAGUGAAGAAGGUUUUCGGAUCGUAAAGCUCUGUUGUAAGAGAAGAACGAGUGUGAGAGUGGAAAGUUCACACUGUGACGGUAUCUUACCAGAAAGGGACGGCUAACUACGUG
rnacentral:rRNA from 1 species